CGGUGAGCUUUUUCUCCAGUUACCCGCUGGUGUGUGAGAUCAUCAGGAGGCCUGGCCAGUCAUGCUGCAGAAGCCAGGGCAGGCCGCCGCAGCGGGCGCGCACCCCGAAGAGGGACUGUGGGCAAUGUGGUCGUGGGCCUGGCUACGGACGACUCCUCUCGGACCCCCGGCCCCGGCCCCGCCUGCCUGGCACCCGCACUCCCGGGCAUCAGCUGCGCACAGCAAGACAUCUCCGGGGAGCGCCCCUCUGAGCAAACAGAUCAGGAGGGGCAGCGAGGGAAAGACACACUCUGGUUGUAAGUCGAUCUCUUUCGGAGCCUGUAAUAGGAUCAAUGUGGAACUAUUAAGCAUUUAUGGUCCGCUCAUGAUUUAUUCACUACUGUGGAUAUCUCACCAGCUCUUUCUUACACCUGCGGUCAACACACCGAGAGCAGCCUUCGUGACCGUUAAGUACGGGAUUUCAGAGCCACCAGCCCCGAUAAACUGCCUGAUCGAAACCUGCGGCAAUGCUGCGAGGAUUUCGGCAAACAAAGAUUUGAUACCAAAGAUCAGUACCAAUACGUAGAAAUAGCAUAUAACUGCACAGAGCACAGUGAUGAAAAGAACUGCAUCAAAGCCAAAUGUUUUCAAGUGCAAUACUGUAUAUGCUUCAGCAGCUGGAUUAGACGUUCACUCACGUUACCUUAUAUAAAAUAACAUACCAGAGAGCAAGAGUUCUUCUGUGGGGAAAGAUAAUAGCUUGAUUUUACUUUAACACUUCCAUGUGCAUAUUGUGACUGAGAAAAGUAAACGCACAUUUUUCUGACAGAACCUGAAGAAUGCCUUAUUUUGGCUUGAAGAUUGGUCCAAUAAAGAGUUUUUACAAUGAAAUUAUAUAGUUUCAAAUUCAGGUAAGCUAAGGCAUUAUUUCUCAAAUCUUAUUUUUUCUCUGUUUAAACCCAACACCAGAACAGCAUUUUCUCUUGACUAAUUAGUUGAUUCACCCAAUUAGUCAGAAUGAUGUAUUAAUUAUACUAAUUCAAUCAUUUCAGGACGUGCCGUGACUCAAAAAGGUUUAUACAGUACAAGUGGGCAACACCUGAAACACCUUCACUGAUUUAUUUUCGGAAAACCAAAAUGACUAUGGCCCUCAUACCUUGUAUUUUAUAGUUUUAUUGUUAGUAGCAUUUUUACAGUCGAAGCUGCUGGAGUUUCAUGUUUCAGAGCAAAAGUAAGUCUCUCCAGCUGAACUCUUCCGAGAGUCCGUUCUUCCCUCCUGCCUCGCUACAUUGGUCAUUCGCUUACGUACGGGCCAUCAGUUUAUUCUUAAAGGUUAAGGUCCAGUGCUCUAAUCACGAACAACCCCCGCUACAGUGUCCAUUUUUAGACGACCUUCCUCUACAAACAAUACAACGGGCGUCUGACUGAAAUGAAGUACUGUAUAGGCAGUUCACGUGUUCCGUGGGAGUUCCUGUUCAAAUAUUUCUUCAUAUCAGGUAGACCUGCCAUCGGGACUUACUGUAGCCUAGCUAUUCUCAGUUUGGUGAGAGUAACUCCAGUCACGAACAUGAUUUCUGGAAUGUGAAGGAAUACACUGUACGCGAGCGAAUAUAGGACUUCCAGAGGCAAUCAUUCAAUCUGAUUGGACAGAAAUACACCCCUGCAAUCCCUGAGGACUCCUCACUCUGCUCUUCCUGAACAGGUUGGAAAACCACAAGAAGCAGAGGCAGAUGUGCUUCAUUCCGUGUUACUUUUCAUUUUUAUGAUACAGCUGCAUCGUUGCCCAUCUUGCUAAAUUCGGCGCUGAAAAAAAAUACUUUGAUGUGGUAGUAAACUCUGAUGUAACCGUGUCACUCUCACCGGAAGGUCAUUUUUGAUCCAGAGGGGUGUUGUUUUUUUUUUUGGUCUCUAAUCAAUUCAGGUGGACAGAAAAAAAGAGCAAGGGCUCCAUCUGUCUGUUCUUUCCGAUUUUCUCUUAGCCUAUGCGCAAAUCGGCACUCUCUCUCCCUCC
ensembl:lincRNA